UACGAAGGGGGCUAGCGUUGCUCGGAAUUACUGGGCGUAAAGCGCACGUAGGCGGCUUUCUAAGUCGGGGGUGAAAUCCUGGAGCUCAACUCCAGAACUGCCUUCGAUACUUGGAGAGCUUGAGUCCGGGAGAGGUGAGUGGAACUGCGAGUGUAGAGGUGAAAUUCGUAGAUAUUGGAAGAACACCAGUGGCGAAGGCGACACACUGGCCCAUUACUGACGCUGAGGCUCGAAAGCGUGGGGAGCAAACAGG
rnacentral:rRNA from 1 species